GACGGACGCUGGCGGCGUGCUUAACACAUGCAAGUCGAACGAUGAAGAAGAGAAACGCGAACUUCGGUUCAAAUUUCACUUCGGAUUAGUGGCAGACGGGUGAGUAACGCGUGAGCAACCUACCUCUUACAAAGGGAUAGCCUCGGGAAACCGUGAUUAAUACCAUAUGACACAUUCAUAAGGCAUCUUAAGAAUGUUAAAGCUACGGCGGUAAGAGAUGGGCUCGCGUCCCAUUAGCUAGUUGGUGAGGUAACGGCCCACCAAGGCGACGAUGGGUAACCGGCCUGAGAGGGUGAACGGUCACAUUGGAACUGAGACACGGUCCAAACUCCUACGGGAGGCAGCAGUGGGGAAUAUUGCACAAUGGAGGGAACUCUGAUGCAGCGACGCCGCGUGGGCGAUGAAGGAAUUCGUUUCGUAAAGCUCUGUUCUAUGGGAAGAAAAGGACUGUACCAUAGGAGAAAGCCCCGGCUAAAUACGUG
rnacentral:rRNA from 1 species